rnacentral:lncRNA from 1 species
CAUCUCACGCAGCCCAGCACUGCUCUGCAGGCUGUAGGCGUGCGCUCCGGCUUUUCCGCCCACCGCCAGUACAUUCCACUCAGCCCCCCAUGGCAGCCCACGCUCCACGGUCACCCUUGUCGGGCAGGCUCAAAUCAAGGCCUAAUCCGGCCAUAUACUCUUGCCUCAGUUUCCUCAUCUUUAGGACGAGUCCUGAGUUCAAAUCCCAGCAAACACAUCCGUAAGGAGAUCCGACUCCUUCUUCUGGAGUGUCUGAAGACAGCUAGAGUGUACUUACAUAUAGUAAAUAAAUUCUUUAAAAAAAAAAAGUUCUGCUGAAUUGAAUACAUGAAUGAAUGAAAGAAGCAAGCGGAUCUGGCACGAGAAACUCCGCCUCUGCCCUUCAAGUCACUUCCGAACAGAAGCCAGCCAAGGUUCAUCGCAAGUGGCCACACUUGUGUUACAGAGAGGCCAGCA